rnacentral:rRNA from 1 species
CGGUCUGAACUCAGAUCACGUAAGAAAUUAAAAGUCGAACAGACUUAAAUAUUAAGCUACUGCACCUAAUAUUAUAUCUUAAUCCAACAUCGAGGUCGCAAUCUUUUUUAUCAAUAAGAACUUUCCAAAAAAAUUACGCUGUUAUCCCUAAAGUAACUUAAUUUAAUAAUCAAUAAUAAUGGAUCAAUUAUUCAUAAAUUAAUGUAUUAAAAUUUAAAAGUUUAUCAAAUUUUAAUGUCUCCCCAACAAAAUAUAAAUAAUUAUAAUAUAAAAAUAAAACUAAAUAUAUAAAAUAAAUAUUUAUAUAAAGAUUUAUAGGGUCUUCUCGUCUUUUAAAUUAAUUUUAGCUUUUUGACUAAAAAAUAAAAUUCUAUAUUAAAUUUAUAUGAAACAGUUAAUAUCUCGUCCAACCAUUCAUUCCAGCCUUCAAUUAAAAGACUAAUUAUUAUGCUACCUUUGCACAGUUAAUAUACUGCGGCCAUUUAAAAUUUCAGUGGGCAGGCUAAACUUUAAAUAAAAUCUAAAAGACAUGUUUUUGUUAAACAGGCG